rnacentral:piRNA from 1 species
UACUUGGCCAUGAUCGCCUUGGUAAUUC